rnacentral:rRNA from 1 species
AGAGUUUGAUUCUGGCUCAGAUUGAACGCUGGCGGCGUGCUUAACACAUGCAAGUCGAACGUGAAAGUCCUUCGGGGCGAGUAAAGUGGCGCACGGGUGAGUAACGCGUGGAUAAUCUACCCUUAAGAUGGGGAUAACGGCUGGAAACGGUCGCUAAUACCGAAUACGCUCCCGAUUUUAUCGUUGGGGGGAAAGAUGGCCUCUGCUUGCAAGCUAUCGCUUAAGGAUGAGUCCGCGUCCCAUUAGCUAGUUGGCGGGGUAACGGCCCACCAAGGCGACGAUGGGUAGCCGGUCUGAGAGGAUGACCGGCCACACUGGAACUGGAACACGGUCCAGACUCCUACGGGAGGCAGCAGUGGGGAAUAUUGCGCAAUGGGCGAAAGCCUGACGCAGCGACGCCGCGUGAGGGAUGAAGGUUCUCGGAUCGUAAACCUCUGUCAGGGGGGAAGAAACCCCCUCGUGUGAAUAAUGCGAGGGCUUGACGGUACCCCCAAAGGAAGCACCGGCUAACUCCGUGCCAGCAGCCGCGGUAAUACGGAGGGUGCAAGCGUUAAUCGGAAUCACUGGGCGUAAAGCGCACGUAGGCGGCUUGGUAAGUCAGGGGUGAAAUCCCACAGCCCAACUGUGGAACUGCCUUUGAUACUGCCAGGCUUGAGUACCGGAGAGGGUGGCGGAAUUCCAGGUGUAGGAGUGAAAUCCGUAGAUAUCUGGAGGAACACCGGUGGCGAAGGCGGCCACCUGGACGGUAACUGACGCUGAGGUGCGAAAGCGUGGGUAGCAAACAGGAUUAGAUACCCUGGUAGUCCACGCUGUAAACGAUGGGUGCUGGGUGCUGGGAUGUAUGUCUCGGUGCCGUAGCUAACGCGAUAAGCACCCCGCCUGGGGAGUACGGUCGCAAGGCUGAAACUCAAAGAAAUUGACGGGGGCCCGCACAAGCGGUGGAGUAUGUGGUUUAAUUCGAUGCAACGCGAAGAACCUUACCCAGGCUUGACAUCUAGGGAACCCUUCGGAAAUGAAGGGGUGCCCUUCGGGGAGCCCUAAGACAGGUGC